UACGAAGGGGGCGAGCGUUGUUCGGAUUUACUGGGCGUAAAGGGCGCGUAGGCGGCCGAUCAAGUCAGGCGUGAAAGCCCCGGGCUCAACCUGGGAAUGGCGCUUGGGACUGGUUGGCUUGAGUUCGGGAGAGGGAUGCAGAAUUCCAGGUGUAGCGGUGAAAUGCGUAGAUAUCUGGAGGAAUACCGGUGGCGAAGGCGGCAUCCUGGACCGGCAUUGACGCUGAGGAGCGAAAGCCAGGGGAGCAAACGGG
rnacentral:rRNA from 1 species